GUUUUCCACCAAAUGAACACGAAUGUGCCUGAACUUGUCAAACUUUGGAAGCUAAGCGGAGUUGAGCCUGGUUAGUACUCGGAUGGGAAACUGCCUGGAAAUAUUAGGGGGUUGUGGGCU
rnacentral:rRNA from 1 species